ensembl:lncRNA
GUUCUUGCACCUAUCUUUCUUCAUAAUGCCAAGGGCUGAGGAGAGGAGAUUCAUGAUAUGUCACCCUUCCCAAUGUGGGACUAUACCAACCAUCUGCUCCUGUCAUUGUAGGGAGACUGAAGUUUGCUAACACUAUUGCAUUUGGACACCCGACCCAGGGUACUUACACCACACUCUUGAUUAGCCUAUUUGGUUUUAUCUGGAUCUUCUCUUACCUUCACCGCUGUCUUCUGAAGAGGCCAAGACCAGAGCUUCUCAGCUGAUAAAUCACAGAAUCACAGAAUGGCUUGGUUUGGAAGGGACCUUAUAGAUCUUCUAGUUCACGGACAAGGUUGUCAACCAUCAGAUCAGGCUGCCCAGGGCCCCAUCCAACCCAGCUUUGAAUGCCUCCAACGAUG